AGAUACAGCCAUACCAUCCUGACGGUGCCGGAUCUUAUCUGAUCUCAGAAGCUAAGCAGGGUCGGGCCUGGUUAGUACCUGAUUGGGAGACACAUGUUCAUCACAGUACUAUGCAUA
rnacentral:rRNA from 1 species